rnacentral:rRNA from 1 species
GAUGAACGCUGGCGGCGUGCCUAAUACAUGCAAGUCGAGCGAACAGACGAGGAGCUUGCUUUUCUGACGUUAGCGGCGGACGGGUGAGUAACACGUGGAUAACCUACCUAUAAGACUGGGAUAACUUCGGGAAACCGGAGCUAAUACCGGAUAAUAUAUUGAACCGCAUGGUUCAAUAGUGAAAGACGGUUUUGCUGUCACUUAUAGAUGGAUCCGCGCUGCAUUAGCUAGUUGGUAAGGUAACGGCUUACCAAGGCAACGAUGCGUAGCCGACCUGAGAGGGUGAUCGGCCACACUGGAACUGAGACACGGUCCAGACUACUACGGGAGGCAGCAGUAUGGAAUCUUCCGCAAUGGGCGGAAGCAUGACGGAGCAACGCCGCGUGAGUGAUGAAGGUCUUCGGAGCGUAAAACUCUGUUAUUAGGGAAGAACAGAUGUGUAAGUAACUGUGCACGUCUUGACGGUAACUAAUCAGAAAGCCACGGCUAACUACGUG